UCGUGAGUUAAAGUGAGGUAGAGUUGGGUAGAGUGAGGUAAAGCGAGGUAGAGUGUGGGAGAGUGACGUAGAGUGAGGGUAGAGCAAGGUAGAGUGGGGCAGAGCAAUUUAAAGUGAAGGUAGAGUGAGGCAGAGUGAAGUAUGAUGAGGAAGAGUGAGGUACAGUUGGGUAAAGUAAGGUAAAAUGAGGUAGAGUGUGGAAGAGUGACAGAGAGUGAGGGUAGAGCAUGGUAAAGUGUGGUAGAGAGAUGUAGAUUAAGGGAGAGAGUGAGGUAAAGCGAGGUAGAGUUGGGUAGAGUGAGGUAAAGUGAGGUAGAGUUGGGUAGAGUGAGGCAAAGCGAGGUAGAGUUGGGUAGAGUGAGGUAAAGUGAGGUAGAGUUGGGUAGAGUGAGGUAAAGUGAGGUAGAGUUGGGUAGAGUGAGGUAAAGUGAGGUAGAGUUGGGUAGAGUGAGGUAAAGCGAGGAAGAGUUGGGUAGAGUGAGGUAAAGCGAAGUAGAGUUGGGUAGAGUGAGGUAAAGCGAAGUAGAGUUGGGUAGAGUGAGGUAAAGCGAGGUAGAGUUGGGUAGAGUGAGGUAAAGCGAGGUAGAGUUGGGUAGAGUGAGGCAAAGCGAGGUAGAGUUGGGUAGAGUGUGGCAAAGCGAGGUAGUGUUGGGUAGAGUGAGGUAAUGCGAGGCAGAGUUGGGUAGAGUGAGGCAAAGCGAGGUAGAGUUGGUUAGAGUGAGGCAAAGCGAGGUAGAGUUGGGUAGAGUGAGGUAAUAUGAGGCAGAGUUGGGUAGAGUGAGGCAAAGCGAGGUAGAGUUGGGUAGAGUAAGGCAAAGAGAGGUAGAGUUGGGUAGAGUGUGGCAAAGCGAGGUAGUGUUGGGUAGAGUGAGGUAAUGCGAGGCAGCGUUGGGUAGAGUGAGGUAAUGCGAGGCAGAGUUGGGUAGAGUGAGGCAAAGCGAGGUAGAGUUGGGUAGAGUAAGGCAAAGAGAGGUAGAGUUGGGUAGAGUGUGGCAAAGCGAGGUAGUGUUGGGUAGAGUGAGGUAAUGCAAGGCAGAGUUGGGUAGAGUGAGGUAAAGUGAGGUAGAGUUGGGUAGAGUUAGGUAAAGUGAGGUAGAGUUGGGUAGAGUGAGGUAAUGUGAGGUAGAGUUGGGUAGA